rnacentral:ncRNA from 1 species
UAUAUUUGCGCCGCUGAAUAGCAUACAUAAAAAUCAUUUAAAAACAAUAUUGGCAUG